rnacentral:ncRNA from 1 species
UUUUUUUUUUUUUUUUGGAAAAAUUUUAUGGGGGGGGGGGGGGGGGGGGAAGGGCCCCGUUUUUAUUUUUGUGGGGGGGGGGGAUUUUUUUGGGGUAAAUUUCGGGAAAAAACGAAGGGGAUUUCAAAAAUUUUUUAAAUAGAGAUUUUUUCGGGGUUUUGUGGUGUGGAAGGGUUUUUAUAGCCUUUCCUUUCAAGGGGGCGACAAAAAAUGUUUUAUGGGUUUUGAAUGUGUUUAUGUAAGUGGAGAAGUACUUGUUGGUUUGUUCCCAUUAUAAGGAUAGUAGUUUCUUAAAUGGAAAAAUUGGGUUUAGUAAUAAUGAGAUUGAGCAAUAAGAGGUCUGUGAUGCCCUUAGAUGUCCUGGGCUGCACGCGCGCUACAAUGAAAGUAUCAACGUGUAUUUCCUAGACCGAGAGGUCCGGGUAAACCGCUGAACCACUUUCAUGCUUGGGAUUGUGAACUGAAACUGUUCACAUGAACUUGGAAUUCCUAGUAAGUGUGAGUCAUUAACUCGCAUUGAUUACGUCCCUGCCCUUUGUGCACACCGCCCGUCGCUACUACCGAUUGAAUUAUUUAGUGAGGUCUCCGGACGUGAUCACUGUGACGCCUUGCGUGUUACGGUUGUU